GCAGAGUAGGACAAACGCGUCAAGUGUUGCAAAACGGGAUGUUGUUUGCAAACGAAAGGCAGCGAAUAUUUUGCGCCUGCGGUGUUUGUCCGCGUCCGUUG
rnacentral:ncRNA from 1 species